AGCGAACGCUGGCGGCAGGCCUAACACAUGCAAGUCGAACGAACCUUUCGGGGUCUGUGGCGUACGGGUGUGUCAUCCGUCGGAACGUUCCCUCAUGUUCGGCAUACCUCAGGGAGACUUGUGCUAAUACCGAAUGUGCCCUUCUGGGGAAUGAUUUAUUGCCUCUAGAGCGGCCCGCGUCUGAUUAGCUAUUUCGUUGAGGUAUUGGCUCACCAGCGCGACGAUCAGUAUCUGGUCUGAGAGAAAGGUCAGACACAUUGGGGCCGAGACACGGCCCAAACUCCUACGGGAGGCAGCAGUGGGGAAUCUUGCACAAUGGGCGAAAGCAUGAAGCAGCCAUGCCGGGAGAAUGAUGAAGGUCGGAGGAAAGUAAAAUUCUUUCAACGGGGAAGAUAAUGACGGUACCCGGAGAAAAAGCCCCGGCUAACUACGUG
rnacentral:rRNA from 1 species